AGUUGGGUCCACCUCCGAAUAAAGAAGCUUCUUCCCAGGCCAGUGGCACAAGCUUAAGUUUGUCUUCUGAAUUUGUCUUCUAAGUCCUUCCAAAAGUUGCCGACCACACAGCAGCCAAAUAUCCGUUAGGAGGUGUCAUUCUCUUCCUUACAACUCCAGUGGCUUAUCAUCACUCUUAGAAUGAGAGGUAGGGGAAGGGAGAAGGGAGAAACAGACAGAGACAGAGAUUGAUUCAAACUUUUUGCCAUCCCUACAGGAUUCUGUGAUCUGGCCCCUGCCUGCCUAUUUAUCUAAUCUCAUGUGUACGUCCCUCCCUCUGGUUAUUCUGACAUUUACACUGGAUAUUCUCUCUGCCUGAAUCACUCUUUCCCAGAAUCUUUGCAUAGCUGUCAUUCAAUCCUAAGCUCAAAUAUCACCUAUUGGUAGGCCUGCAAGAAUUAGCAAAUAGAAAUACAGGACACCAAAUUCAAAUGUAACUGUACGUUCUGUAUUUUAUCUGGUGACCCUUCCUGCUGUGAGAACUCAUUCCUGUCUAAUUUGUCUAAAUCAGCCACCUUUCACCCUUUCACAGUUAUUCUGUUACAGUAUUCUGUUUUAUUUAUUUCAUGGCAUUUAUCACUAGUUGAAUUUUUUUUACAAGUUUAUUGGCUGCUUCCCCCAAACUAGAAUGUAAGAUUCUUAAAAGCAG
rnacentral:lncRNA from 1 species